UGGGGAAUAUUGCACAAUGGGCGAAAGCCUGAUGCAGCAACGCCGCGUGAGUGAUGAAGGCCUUCGGGUUGUAAAGCUCUGUCUUUUGGGACGAUAAUGACGGUACCAAAGGAGGAAGCCACGGCUAACUACGUGCCAGCAGCCGCGGUAAUACGUAGGUGGCAAGCGUUGUCCGGAUUUACUGGGCGUAAAGGAUGCGUAGGCGGAUUUUUAAGUGAGAUGUGAAAUACCCGGGCUUAACUUGGGUGCUGCAUUUCAAACUGGGAAUCUAGAGUGCGGGAGAGGAGAAUGGAAUUCCUAGUGUAGCGGUGAAAUGCGUAGAGAUUAGGAAGAACACCAGUGGCGAAGGCGAUUCUCUGGACCGUAACUGACGCUGAGGCAUGAAAAGCGUGGGUAGCAAACAGGAAUUAGAUACCCUGGUAGUCCACGCCGUAAACGAUGAGUACUAGGUGUAGGAGGUAUCGACCCCUUCUGUGCCGCAGUUAACACAAUAAGUACUCCGCCUGGGAAGUACGAUCGCAAGAUUAAAACUCGAAGGAAUUGACGGGGUCAAUAGCUG
rnacentral:rRNA from 1 species